rnacentral:tRNA from 1 species
GGGGGUGUUUUUGGGACUCAUAAUCCCUCGGUCGGGGGUUCGAAUCCCUCCGGGCCCA